rnacentral:rRNA from 1 species
AUGCGCAGAGAUAUGGAGGAACACCAGUGGCGAAGGCGACUUUCUGGUCUGUAACUGACGCUGAUGUGCGAAAGCGUGGGGAUCAAACAGGAUUAGAUACCCUGGUAGUCCACGCCGUAAACGAUGAGUGCUAAGUGUUAGGGGGUUUCCGCCCCUUAGUGCUGCAGCUAACGCAUUAAGCACUCCGCCUGGGGAGUACGACCGCAAGGUUGAAACUCAAAGGAAUUGACGGGGACCCGCACAAGCGGUGGAGCGUGUGGUUUAAUUCGAAGCAACGCGAAGAACCUUACCAAAUCUUGACAUCCUCUGACCCCUCUAGAGAUAGAGGUUUCCCCUUCGGGGGACAGAGUGACAGGUGGUGCAUGGUUGUCGUCAGCUCGUGUCGUGAGAUGUUGGGUUAAGUCCCGCAACGAGCGCAACCCUUAAGCUUAGUUGCCAUCAUUAAGUUGGGCACUCUAAGUUGACUGCCGGUGACAAACCGGAGGAAGGUGGGGAUGACGUCAAAUCAUCAUGCCCCUUAUGAUUUGGGCUACACACGUGCUACAAUGGACAAUACAAAGGGCAGCGAAACCGCGAGGUCAAGCAAAUCCCAUAAAGUUGUUCUCAGUUCGGAUUGUAGUCUGCAACUCGACUAUAUGAAGCUGGAAUCGCUAGUAAUCGUAGAUCAGCAUGCUACGGUGAAUACGUUCCCGGGUCUUGUACACACCGCCCGUCACACCACGAGAGUUUGUAACACCCGAAGCCGGUGGAGUAAC